rnacentral:rRNA from 1 species
GCCUCCCUCCGCCGCCCACUCAGACUCCUACCGGAGGGCAGCAGUAAGGAAUAUUGGUCAAUGGGCGCGAAGCCUGAACCAGCCAUGCCGCGUGCAGGAAGACGGCCCUACGGGUUGUAAACUGACUUUUAUACCGGUAAUAAACCCUCUUUAACGUGUUAAGGAGUUGAAUGUACGGUAGAAUAAGGAUCGGCUAACUCCGUGCCAGCAGCCGCGGUAAUAC